GUGAGAAGAGACUUGAAGAAAGGAGACACAUCAGUCAUCUAUUCCAAUAAUCCAAUUGUGAGGUAAUGAGGGCCUGCACUAUAGUGGUUAGCAGUGUCAGAGUAGAGAUGGAGAUGUAUUUGAGAGAUGUCACAAAGGAAAGAUUGACAGGUCUUGCCAGCAGCAUGGACAUGAGGUAGAGGGAAGGAGUUGGUAAUGGUAAGGAAUCCAGAAAGAUUCCUAGCAUGCAAGUCUAAGAGACUGAGAGAAUAAUGCCCUCUACAGAAAUAGGGAAGAGACCACAAGAAGAGCCUGACAGAGCAGAAGCCAAGACGAACACCAUGAAUCCAUGUUGUAUCCCCAAUCAGCACCUCCAACUUGAUCAACUCAAGUCCCAGAGAUACAACUAGUUUCUUCUUUCAUAUCAGCCAGAAGCCAAAAGCCUCUCAGCUUCAGUCACCACCAUCAGCCAAAGACCCUCCAAACAGUCACUGUUGCCUUGGCUCCAAACUGCUUUUCCUGGUCACAUUCCAAAUGGAAUCUUCAUUUGACUGACAGAUGCUCUAUCCUCUACUUUCUGUGCCUUGCAUGAAUGCCUCCUUCACCAUACCUUGCUACAGUCCUACCUUUGCACAAAGCUGAAAUCGUGUUGAAAACACUAUUUUGGCAUUUGUUCACUAACUUACUUAUAUAUUACUUAAACUAAAAUAUCUACCCAAAGUAACAAUCUACACUCAAC
rnacentral:lncRNA from 1 species